rnacentral:rRNA from 1 species
CGACGAGAGGACAUGGGAAGCUUGCUUCCUAUGAAAUCGAGUGGCAUACGGGUGAGUNNNGCGUAAACAACCUGCCCUUCGGAUGGGGAUAACAGCCGGAAACGGCUGCUAAUACCGAAUACGAUCUUUUCGUCGCAUGACGGAAAGAAGAAAGGAUGGCCUCUAUACAAAGCUAUCGCCGAAGGAGGGGUUUGCGUCUGAUUAGCUGGUUGGAGGGGUAACGGCCCAACAAGGCGAUGAUCAGUAGCCGGUCCGAGAGGAUGAAUGGCCACAUUGGGACUGAGACACGGCCCAGACUCCUACGGGAGGCAGCAGUGGGGAAUCUUCCGCAAUGGACGAAAGUCUGACGGAGCAACGCCGCGUGAGUGAAGAAGGUCUUCGGAUUGUAAAGCUCUGUUAUACGGGACGAAAAAGACGGAUGCCAACAGUAUCCGUCCGUGACGGUACCGUAAGAGAAAGCCACGGCUAACUACGUGCCAGCAGCCGCGGUAAUACGUAGGUGGCAAGCGUUGUCCGGAAUUAUUGGGCGUAAAGGGCGCGCAGGCGGUUCGGUAAGUCUGUCUUAAAAGUGCGGGGCUUAACCCCGUGAGGGGACGGAAACUGUCGAACUUGAGUGUCGGAGAGGAAAGCGGAAUUCCUAGUGUAGCGGUGAAAUGCGUAGAUAUUAGGAGGAACACCGGUGGCGAAAGCGGCUUUCUGGACGACAACUGACGCUGAGGCGCGAAAGCGUGGGGAGCAAACANNAUUAGAUACCCUGGU